UGCUGGGCCAAACAAAGGGAGAGCGCCUGGUUUAAAUUCCGAACUUUCAACCGACCGGCUCGCGCUCGAAUUCAAACCGUCACCGCGAGCGCCGCUCAACCGCCAUCGGCCGCGGGACGGAGCCAGCACAGGCCUCACUGAGGCCCCCCCUCACACCGACAGUGUGGGGAAACCUUCACCCGCCGCCUUCCUCCUCUUCACACCUCAGCAUUCCCCGUCGGCUUCUUCUUAUUGCUGGUCUAUGUGCUAACUGCCCAUGCAACUGCAGCUCAAGGGUCUCCCUGUGGAGUAGGGAAUGCAAUUUACUGUAUCUUCUCUGAGCACUGGAUAACAUAAUCUCAAGUCAUCAACAUGAUAAGCGGACUCCAUAAAGAUUCUUUAGCAGCGUGAUGAGACCAAGACUAUUACACAAAACUCACUGCUUAUAGCACUGUGGGUGCACCUACACCAAAUGAUCUGCUAUGCUUCAAGAUGGAACUCACCGCCACCUUUUUAAGCAACCAGGGACUCUACAAUUACCAGGCUCUACACUUCAGAGCAGU